UUUCUUCUCAGCCAAGGCGUAUUCCCAAGUAAAGGCUUCAGAUAGACAGAUGGAAAGAGGGACAAGGGUCAUUUUCUACAGAGGGCAAUCUUUCUGGCAGGUCUUAGGGGGCAAACCCUGAACCCAGGCAUGCGGUGGACCCGGGGGACUCCCCCAGUCCUCCUCUCCCUCCUUUCCCCUGGAAGGGCAGCUGGGUCCUCUGGGCAAGCUGCAGAGCAAGGACCCUCCUCCCUCUUAGCUUCCCUCUCAAGCCUCAGUGGGAUGGGGACAAACGAUUUCUCUUGCAGGCGAAGAUCGGGCAGAGGUUUCUGGGCUGUGCCAAGCCACGGUUUUGUUUUACCUCGUGAUGAGGAACAGCUGUGUCCCAAAGGGGCGGCACCUCGCCGCCUCCGCAGUGUUUUGAUAAGAGGCGCGGGGUUGGCGAGUGUGGACGAGAUGAGGAAUCGCGUUUCUCGCAACAGUCCUCGCGCUCCAGGUCACGAGCUAAUCUCCUUUGGGAAACCGAGACCAGAGAUGGGCCUCCCUCUCUCCCUGCUAUCUCAGGGUAUUUUCUGUCACCAUGGAGAAUGGUAGAGGCUGGAAAAGGUCAAAAGGACACGGCCUACGAGCUGAGGCGGCAGAGCAGUGAAGCCUGUUGGAAAGUGCCAGCAUCCAAGAGGAGGAUGGUGAGAACCGUAGAGCCGGGUGCCGGGUCAGUCGGAUGGACACGGGUUCCAAGGCCACCUCUGUGCCGCCAGCUUUGGGCUGUGCAGGGCCCUUUGGUGUUUCAGGCGAUGUGAGUUGAAGAAGGAAUGAGCGCUUGGUCUUCAGAAGGGGCAGAGACGAGCCGCCAGGUCGGGUCAGAGUCACGGUUAACAAGCUCUCGGCUCCUCACUCCGUCGCUGUUUGGUUUUCACUGCGUCGCGAUUUUGCAGCUUUCCCACUCGGACCACCAACUUUCCUGAGCGUUUAGCCUUCUCUGCCGGCUGCC
rnacentral:lncRNA from 1 species